ACUGCUUUUCUUUAAUGUCCGAAUAUUGACGAACCCGAUAGUUUACCCUCAUGGUUUUCACACUAUCGGGUUUUUAUUU
rnacentral:sRNA from 1 species